CCUACGGGAGGCAGCAGUGGGGAAUAUUGCACAAUGGGGGAAACCCUGAUGCAGCGACGCCGCGUGAGUGAAGAAGUAAUUCGGUAUGUAAAGCUCUAUCAGCAGGGAAGAAAAUGACGGUACCUGAGUAAGAAGCCCCGGCUAACUACGUGCCAGCAGCCGCGGUAAUACGUAGGGGGCAAGCGUUAUCCGGAUUUACUGGGUGUAAAGGGAGCGGAGACGGCAGUGCAAGACUGGAGUGAAAGGCGGGGGCUCAACCCCCGGACUGCUCUGGAAACUGGACGGCUGGAGUGCAGGAGAGGUAAGCGGAAUUCCUAGUGUAGCGGUGAAAUGCGUAGAUAUUAGGAGGAACACCAGUGGCGAAGGCGGCUUACUGGACUGUAACUGACGUUGAGGCUCGAAAGCGUGGGGAGCAAACAGGAUUAGAUACCCGAGUAGUC
rnacentral:rRNA from 1 species